AAUAUUGGUCAAUGGGUGAGAGCCUGAACCAGCCAUGCCGCGUGCAGGAAGAAGGCCUUCUGGGUUGUAAACUGCUUUUGCCAGGGGAUAAAAAGGGAGUGCGCUCCAAAUUGAAGGUACCUGGUGAAUAAGCCACGGCUAACUACGUGCCAGCAGCCGCGGUAAUACGUAGGUGGCGAGCGUUGUCCGGAUUUAUUGGGUUUAAAGGGUGCGUAGGCGGCCCUGUAAGUCAGUGCUGAAAUAUCUCGGCUUAACCGAGAGGGUGGCAUUGAUACUGCAGGGCUUGAGUACAGAUGAGGUAGGCGGAAUUGACGGUGUAGCGGUGAAAUGCAUAGAUAUCGUCAAGAACACCGAUAGCGAAGGCAGCUUACUGGGCUGUAACUGACGCUGAUGCACGAAAGUGUGGGGAUCAAAC
rnacentral:rRNA from 1 species